rnacentral:rRNA from 1 species
GACGAACGCUGGCGGCGUGCUUAACACAUGCAAGUCGAACGGAAAGGCCCUGCUUGCAGGGUACUCGAGUGGCGAACGGGUGAGUAACACGUGGGUGAUCUGCCCUGCACUUCGGGAUAAGCUUGGGAAACUGGGUCUAAUACCGGAUAGGAGCCAUCUUUAGUGUGGUGGUUGGAAAGUUUUUUCGGUGUAGGAUGAGCUCGCGGCCUAUCAGCUUGUUGGUGGGGUAAUGGCCUACCAAGGCGGCGACGGGUAGCCGGCCUGAGAGGGUGUACGGCCACAUUGGGAUUGAGAUACGGCCCAACCCCCCAGGGGGGGCAGCAGUGGGGAAAAUUGAAAAAUGGGGGAAAGCCUGAUGCAGCGACGCCGGGUGGGGGGUGAAGGCCUUCGGGUUGUAAACGCCUUUCGCUAGGGACGAAGCUUUGUUGGGACGGGACCAAGAUAAGAAGCACCGGCAAACUACGU